rnacentral:misc_RNA from 1 species
CAUAGUUAGUACGAUAUGCCAAUGAAGACUGGCAGCACUUCGAAAAUGACUCUACCGUUAAAGUGGCUAUGCCUCGUCACAGUUCUGGGAGUUUUGUGCCCCACCGAAGCUGUGCUCGAUCAAACAUCCAGGUUCAUCGAGCAAGGCUACACCAUGUGCAUGGGCAACACCGUCGCUUACAAGGUUCACAACGAACCGCGGACCUGGCACGAAGCUGUGCAAGUUUGCAGAGGCGAAGGAGCUCGCCUGGCGAUAAUCGACAGCUACGAGAAGGUUCGAGUCAUCGGCGGAAUGAAGCCGUUCAACGCCUACGUCUGGGUCGGAGUGUCGCGAUCGGAUCCGCAGCAUCCUUGGAUAACGGCGGACGAAGGCGCCUCGAUGAACAACGUUCCUUGGGCACCGACGAAACCUUCGGGCCCGUUCAACUGCCUCACCGUCCGAGGGUGCAACCGGGGAUUGAGCAACGAGGACUGCAGCCAGCGAAAGGGAUUCGUCUGCGAAAAGUCGCCGGUGAAUCCAAGCAUCAGAUACGACUGAUUGAAGUUGCGACGAGCUGGAUGAAGUAAUUGGAACCGAAUGGAGGGCAACGUUGAGCUGUAUUUCCUGAUAAGACAGUGGCACUGUAUCGGUGGUAUCAGUAGUUAGUCAGUUUGCACAUCAAUGCGUGAAUUUCCAAUGGCCGAAAAAUGCGGGAUCUCAAGAUAUAUGGUAUACUAUCUCACAAACGGAACCAAAUGUCAGAAUAAACAACAAACUUGUACCGGCCGAAGGGAUACGCGGUAGUUGGCUCGUUUAUUUAGAACUCUGUUUCAAGCAUACGUGCAUUGGAUACUUGUUUAUAUCUCCUGAAACGAAAAUAAAACAAUUUAAUUCUGCCGACGAGAUCUUCAUCGUUCAUAAUUCAUAUUCUCCGUAUAACCAUAAAAUCCUUACAUGUUCAUUGUUAUAUGCGAAAGGAACAUCCGGGUAGAACGAAAUAUUUCCCAGAAAGCGACCAUCCGAUAUGAAAUUAAUUUACCGGCUGAUCAGGCAUUCAAAUCCACUGAGCGCAAUCAACUUUUGCCUGCUUCGUAAUUUUAUUUUUCUUGUGUCAAUAAUGAUUAUAUACGGUUGCAAAAUACGAAACGUUAUCGUCUUUCAAGACCGAAGAUUAUGUAUCCAUGCAAUAUUGAAAGCAGAAUAUCUUUAGAGGAGGCCGUUAAAACGGAUUAGAUAAAAUGUAACAUUGAAAUUAACGACGCGAAUGCAUAUUUAUACAAAGCUUUGAUUAAUGUCGUAUCUUCAGCAAAAUUUCGCGGAAUUAUGGAGAAAGGAGGGAGUUUGAGGGUUUGUAUCACGGGUAUAAAUAAAGUCCGUAGAAGCUACACGCCGCAAUUGAUACGUUUAGUUUUGACGAAGACUGACAUCAGUGUGAAAAUGAUCGGACAGUUCCAGUCGCUGUUUCUGCAGCUUGCGUGCGUCUUGACAGUUUUUGGAGUUUUGAGCUCAGCGAGAACGCACCUCCAGGUCAUAGUCAAUCAUGCGCCGAGAUCCUACACCCCGUACAGAGACAAUACAGUUUCUUACAAGGUUUUCACCGAGGAGAGAAAUUGGGAGGAAGCUGAGCAAAAGUGCAUCGAGGACGGAGCUCGUCUGGCUAUAAUCGACACCUAUGACAAAGUUCGCUUCGUAGGCGACAUAAAACCGUUCGACUGCUACUUGUGGGUCGGCAUAAGAAGAUCAGGCCCUUCGGACGCGUGGACCAAGGCGCACAACGGUGCGCCGGUACCCAACGUUCCGUGGGCACCAACGCAACCCAACGGCAUUCAAAACUGCAGCACGAUCCAAGGGUGCAACCUAGGAUUGGGCGACGAAGACUGCGCGGCUCGACUGGGUUUCGUAUGCGAAAAGCCGAUAAGCGGACAAGAGGAAACGUUCUCUCUCUCUCCAUCGAUGUCGCUGAAACAAGUGUGUCAGUUAAUCGCGUCUCCGUCAAUCCCAAAAAAAAAAGCAAUCGCAUCUCUUCCGGACGGCUACGCCCCGAUUCUCAACUCAAGCGUGGCUUACAAGCUCUACAAGAAGUUAGUAACCUGGGUGGAGGCGAAAGGACUGUGCGAGAGAGAGGGUGCUAGUUUGGCAGUGGCCGAUAACCGAAAAAUCUACGAGUACCUGACCAAGAACACUCCUU